GGAUGUGAGGGCGAUCUGGCUGCGACAUCUGUCACCCCAUUGAUCGCCAGGGUUGAUUCGGCUGAUCUGGCUGGCUAGGCGGGUGUCCCCUUCCUCCCUCACCGCUCCAUGUGCGUCCCUCCCGAAGCUGCGCGCUCGGUGGAAGAGGACGACCAUCCCAGAUAGAAGGAGUGUACCGUUCUUCGGUCAAGGGUAUAUUGUAA